GUGUUGAGCGAUACGCUGGGUUUGCUUGAAAGAAAGGCGGAGUAUAAACUAAUGGAUAGGUUUUUUCCACUCAUUGGUACAAACUCCAAAACUUCUUCCAAAUUCGACCUCAAAUCAGGUAGGACUACCCGCUGAACUUAAGCAUAUCAAUAAGCGGAGGAAAAGAAACCAACAGGGAUUGCCUUAGUAGCGGCGAGUGAAGCGGCAAAAGCUCAAAUUUGAAAUCUGGCACUUUCAGUGUCCGAGUUGUAAUUUGAAGAAGGUAUCUUUGGGUCUGGCUCUUGUCUAUGUUUCUUGGAACAGAACGUCACAGAGGGUGAGAAUCCCGUGCGAUGAGAUGUCCCAGACCUAUGUAAAGUUCCUUCGAAGAGUCGAGUUGUUUGGGAAUGCAGCUCUAAGUGGGUGGUAAAUUCCAUCUAAAGCUAAAUAUUGGCGAGAGACCGAUAGCGAACAAGUACAGUGAUGGAAAGAUGAAAAGAACUUUGAAAAGAGAGUGAAAAAGUACGUGAAAUUGUUGAAAGGGAAGGGCUUGAGAUCAGACUUGGUAUUUUGUAUGUUACUCUCUCGGGGGUGGCCUCUACAGUUUACCGGGCCAGCAUCAGUUUGAGCGGUAGGAUAAGUGCAAAGAAAUGUGGCACUGCUUCGGUAGUGUGUUAUAGUCUUUGUCGAUACUGCCAGCUUAGACUGAGGACUGCGGC
rnacentral:rRNA from 1 species